rnacentral:rRNA from 1 species
CCUACGGGAGGCAGCAGUGGGGAAUAUUGGGCAAUGGGCGCAAGCCUGACCCAGCAACGCCGCGUGAAGGAAGAAGGCUCUCGGGUUGUAAACUUCUUUUAUCAGGGACGAAGCAAGUGACGGUACCUGAUGAAUAAGCCACGGCUAACUACGUGCCAGCAGCCGCGGGAAUACGUAGGAGGCAAGCGUUAUCCGGAUUUACUGGGUGUAAAGGGCGUGUAGGCGGGAUGGCAAGUCAGAUGUGAAAACAAUGGGCUCAACCUGUGGCCUGCAUUUGAAACUGUUUUUAUUGAGUGCUGGAGAGGGAGCCGGAAUUCCUAGUGUAGCGGUGAAAUGCGUAGAUAUUAGGAAGAACACCGAUGGCGAAGGCAGUCUCCUGGACCACAACUGACGCUGAGGCGCGAAAGCGUGGGGAGCAAACAGGAUUAGAUACCCUUGUAGUC